GGGAACGUGCCUUUAGGUUCGGAAUAGCUCCUGGAAACGGGUGGUAAUGCCGAAUGUGCCCUUCGGGGGAAAGAUUUAUCGCCUUUAGAGCGGCCCGCGUCUGAUUAGCUAGUUGGUUGAGGUAACGGCUCACCAAGGCGACGAUCAGUAGCUGGUCUGAGAGGAUGGCCAGCCACAUUGGGACUGAGACACGGCCCAAACUCCUACGGGAGGCAGCAGUGGGGAAUCUUGCGCAAUGGGCGAAAGCCUGACGCAGCCAUGCCGCGUGAAUGAUGAAGGUCUUAGGAUUGUAAAAUUCUUUCACCGGGGACGAUAAUGACGGUACCCGGAGAAGAAGCCCCGGCUAACUUCGUGCCAGCAGCCGCGGUAAUACGAAGGGGGCUAGCGUUGCUCGGAAUUACUGGGCGUAAAGCGCACGUAGGCGGAUUGUUAAGUGAGGGGUGAAAUCCCAGGGCUCAACUCUGGAACUGCCUUUGAUACUGGGUGUCUUGAGUGUGAGAGAGGUAUGUGGAACUCCGAGU
rnacentral:rRNA from 1 species